CACGUAGGGCGCAAGCGUUGUCCGGAAUUAUUGGGCGUAAAGAGCUCGUAGGCGGUCCGUCACGUCCGCUGUGAAAACCCAGGGCUCAACCCUGGGCUUGCAGUGGAUACGGGCAGACUAGAGGUAGGUAGGGGAGAAUGGAAUUCCCGGUGUAGCGGUGAAAUGCGCAGAUAUCGGGAGGAACACCGGUGGCGAAGGCGGUUCGCUGGGCCUUACCUGACGCUGAGGAGCGAAAGCGUGGGGAGCGAACAGG
rnacentral:rRNA from 1 species